CCCUUAGAUGUUCUGGGCCGCACGCGCGCUACACUGACUGACUCAACGAGUUUACAACCUGUGCCGAAAGGUAUGGGUAAUCUUUUGAAAUUCGGUCGUGAUGGGGCUAGAUUAUUGCAACUAUUGAUCUUCAACGAGGAAUGCCUAGUAAGCGCGAAUCAUCAGUUCGCGUUGAUUACGUCCCUGCCCUUUGUACACACCGCCCGUCGCUCCUACCGAUUGAAUGGUCCGGUGAAAAUUUCGGAUAGUGACGAUGCUGGCGGUUCGCCGCCGGCGCUGUCGCUAGAAGAUCUUUAAACCUUAUCAUUUAGAGGAAGGAGAAGUCGUANCA
rnacentral:rRNA from 1 species